rnacentral:rRNA from 1 species
UACAGAGGUCUCAAGCGUUGUUCGGAUUCAUUGGGCGUAAAGGGUGCGUAGGUGGCGCCGUAAGUCGGGUGUGAAAUUUCGGAGCUUAACUCCGAAACUGCAUUCGAUACUGCGGUGCUUGAGGACUGGAGAGGAGACUGGAAUUCAUGGUGUAGCAGUGAAAUGCGUAGAGAUCAUGAGGAACACCGGUGGCGAAGGCGCACAUCUGGCCCGAUACUGACGCUGAGGCGCGAAAGCUAGGGGAGCAAACGGG